rnacentral:snRNA from 1 species
AUCGCUUCUCGGCCUUUUGGCUAAGAUCAAGUGUAGAUGUCAGAGCAUUUAUAAUUCAAAUAAUGGAUUUAUAUUGCUUUAAGGUCUGCUUUUUUAGAAUUUUCUAUCUCCAUUGAGUCCCAGUAAAUCCCCU